rnacentral:rRNA from 1 species
UACGUAGGGUGCGAGCGUUGUCCGGAAUUACUGGGCGUAAAGAGCUCGUAGGUGGUUUGUCGCGUUGUUCGUGAAAUCCCACGGCUUAACUGUGGGCGUGCGGGCGAUACGGGCAGACUGGAGUACUGCAGGGGAGACUGGAAUUCCUGGUGUAGCGGUGGAAUGCGCAGAUAUCGGGAGGAACACCGGUGGCGAAGGCGGUUCUCUGGGCCUUACCUGACGCUGAGGAGCGAAAGCGUGGGGAGCGAACAGG